AGUACGGGCUGGGGUUCGGCGACCCGGGCCCGUUGGGCACGGCCGGGGCGGUGUCGCUCGCCGCGUUCGAGACCGGGUUCGUGCUG
rnacentral:tRNA from 1 species